rnacentral:lncRNA from 1 species
ACCAGUCCAAAUGCUAUACCGGUUAAACUCCGCCAUUUUGCCUCUUAGUGCUCAUGCUUGAGCCCGCUUGCCCAACUCCUGAGAUGUCAUCGGGAAGCUGCUGAUCAGCAAUUACAGAGAUGCUCUUCUCACCUCUCAUUCGGAAUCUACUCUCAAUUAUAUAUAAGACGGUCAAUAAUGAAACUCGUGGCCCAUCUGUCCUUCCGGUGUGCCCUGCACUGUGCUAAGAACUUCCCAUCCACUGGAUCUCACGGAGGUUCACAGUCAUCUGAAGAGGGGGUCCUGUGUUCACCUGCAUCUUGCAGAACACAGCAAGCAGUCACCGUCUAUGAACUAGAAAGCUGAUUCACCAGACACCGAAUCUGCCAGCACCUUGGUCUUGGACUUCCCAGCCUCCAGAACUAGGAAAUGUUCCAACACAUCUGAGGAAACACAUGCCUUCCCAGACUGGCCUGUUGCUGUUUCCCAGGAGCUGCAUUCUGGAAGGUGGACCAUCAGGUGGAAGAAGUAUUCUUCAGAGAGCUGCCUUCCCAAGGGAAUGGUGACAGCUUGCGCUUGCCGGGGAGUCCUGCUGCCUUCCGAGGUGUGAAGGGAAGGCAUGCACUGUGCAUAUGCUGUACCAUACAGUUUUGCCUACAACUGCUUGUAGCUUCAUUGUAGCUGUGAAUGCUCCGUUCCUCUCCUUUUCACCCCUGAAGAUUCGCGAACAUGCAGGAUUGAGCUGUGCGAGGCAUAGCAUUCCCCACAUGGUAGACGAAGGCGGAUGUGGGUCUGAUGGCUCUACUGCCGUCCACCCGGGAGGAUGGACGUGUGUUCCGGGAUAUCAGAGCUUGCGGCUGACCAGCCCACAUGUCCAUGCAGCCCUCCCGCUGGCUGUGUCGACAUUUUGGGUGUCACUGAAGGAUUUUACUGGUGCAGACUUUACAAAGGCAAAAUUGUUUCUCAAGGAAGUGGACAUGAAAGAUCUAAAAUCAGGGCUGCUUAAAAAAAGCAAGCACAGAUUAAUGACCUAUCUACAUCCUACACGGUUUUAGGACUGCGCCUAGAUGGGCUUAAAGACCCUAGCCUAAAAACUGUAAAUGUGCUUCCGUCUUUGCCCUGUAGGACAAGAAAGCCUUACGGGCUUGCUUCUAACUGUGAGAGGAGGAGAGGCCAGGAAGGGAGAGGGAGAAAAGGAGGAGAACAGGAGACGAGAAGGAGGGGAGAGUGAGGAGAGGAGGAGAGAGGCUUGUCAAAAUCUUUUUAGUGCACAAAACUAAUUUUGUUCAUCUUGGAUUUGGUGAGCUGGGUAAUAUUCUGUGCACGGCUCCUAAAUGAAUUAUUAAAUGUCAACUCAAGAUGGCUUAACUAAAAUACUCAAUUUAAUAACCAAAAGUAUCUAAGGUAACAACAACAAUUUUGCAGGUGAUUGUAGAGUUGUCAAGUCAAACCAUUAUAGACAAGCAUUUGGGGUUUUCACAUAAUCUCCUUCCACAUCUCAUCUUCUGUCACUAAAUACCCACUCUGGUGAGCAUAUUCCAUUUCAAUAAAGAUCAUCGCUUCG